CGGGGUGUAGCUCAGCUUGGUAGAGCGCCUGCUUUGGGAGCAGGAAGUCGCAGGUUCAACUCCUGUCACCCCGA
rfam:Arthrobacter sp. RIT-PI-e NODE_5_length_119197_cov_26.0182_ID_9, whole genome shotgun sequence.